rnacentral:rRNA from 2 species
ACAUGCAGUCGAACGAUGAUGCCCAGCUUGCUGGGUGGAUUAGUGGCGAACGGGUGAGUAACACGUGAGUAACCUGCCCCUGACUCUGGGAUAAGCGUUGGAAACGACGUCUAAUACUGGAUAUGACUGCCGGCCGCAUGGUCUGGUGGUGGAAAGAUUUUUUGGUUGGGGAUGGACUCGCGGCCUAUCAGCUUGUUGGUGAGGUAAUGGCUCACCAAGGCGACGACGGGUAGCCGGCCUGAGAGGGUGACCGGCCACACUGGGACUGAGACACGGCCCAGACUCCUACGGGAGGCAGCAGUGGGGAAUAUUGCACAAUGGGCGAAAGCCUGAUGCAGCAACGCCGCGUGAGGGAUGACGGCCUUCGGGUUGUAAACCUCUUUUAGUAGGGAAGAAGCGUAAGUGACGGUACCUGCAGAAAAAAGCACCGGCUAACUACGUGCCAGCAGCCGCGGUAAUACGUAGGGUGCAAGCGUUGUCCGGAAUUAUUGGGCGUAAAGAGCUCGUAGGCGGUUUGUCGCGUCUGCUGUGAAAUCCCGAGGCUCAACCUCGGGCUUGCAGUGGGUACGGGCAGACUAGAGUGCGGUAGGGGAGAUUGGAAUUCCUGGUGUAGCGGUGGAAUGCGCAGAUAUCAGGAGGAACACCGAUGGCGAAGGCAGAUCUCUGGGCCGUAACUGACGCUGAGGAGCGAAAGCGUGGGGAGCGAACAGGAUUAGAUACCCUGGUAGUCCACGCCGUAAACGUUGGGCGCUAGAUGUAGGGACCUUUCCACGGUUUCUGUGUCGUAGCUAACGCAUUAAGCGCCCCGCCUGGGGAGUACGGCCGCAAGGCUAAAACUCAAAGGAAUUGACGGGGGCCCGCACAAGCGGCGGAGCAUGCGGAUUAAUUCGAUGCAACGCGAAGAACCUUACCAAAGGCUUGACAUACACCGGAAACGGCCAGAGAUGGUUGCCCCCGUUGUGGUCGGUGUACAGGUGGAGCAUGGGGUUGUCGUCAGCUCGUGUCGUGAGAUGUUGGGUUAAGUCCCGCAACGAGCGCAACCCUCGUUCUAUGUUGCCAGCGCGUUAUGGCGGGGACUCAUAGGAGACUGCCGGGGUCAACUCGGAGGAAGGUGGGGAUGACGUCAAAUCAUCAUGCCCCUUAUGUCUUGGGCUUCACGCAUGCUACAAUGGCCGGUACAAAGGGCUGCGAUACCGUAAGGUGGAGCGAAUCCCAAAAAGCCGGUCUCAGUUCGGAUUGAGGUCUGCAACUCGACCUCAUGAAGUCGGAGUCGCUAGUAAUCGCAGAUCAGCAACGCUGCGGUGAAUACGUUCCCGGGCCUUGUACACACCGCCCGUCAAGUCAUGAAAGUCGGUAACACCCGAAGCCGGUGGCCUAACCCUUGUGGAAGGAGCCGUCGAAU